rnacentral:rRNA from 1 species
CCUACGGUGGGCAGCAGUGGGGAAUAUUGCACAAUGGGGGAAACCCUGAUGCAGCGACGCCGCGUGAGUGAAGAAGUAAUUCGUUAUGUAAAGCUCUAUCAGCAGGGAAGAAAAUGACGGUACCUGAGUAAGAAGCCCCGGCUAACUACGUGCCAGCAGCCGCGGUCAUACGUAGGGGGCAAGCUGUAUCCGGAUUCACGGGGUGGACAGGGAGCGUAGACGGCAGUGCAAGUCUGGAGUGGAAGGGGGGGGCUCAACCCCCGGACUGCCCGGGAAACUGUACGGCUGGAGUGCAGGAGAGGUAAGUGGAAGUCCUAGGGUAGCGGUGAAAUGCGUAGAUAUUAGGAGGAGCACCAGUGGCGAGGGCGGCUUACUGGACUGUAACUGACGUUGAGGCUCGAAAGCGUGGGGAGCAAACAGGAUUAGAUACCCCAGUAGUC